AGAGUGGUGUGGACCCAAGUCACCUGUAUUAGAACUGUCUUAGAGAGGCAAAUAUCACAGUUGAUGGAUUAUAGAAAUUUUAAUCACACGCACACACACUCACGGACACACACACUCACAAGUUUCGCAUGCUGGAGAAUGCGGGGAAGAUGCCUCUUUACUGUUGAUGGAGAGGACAGGAUGCUGUGAUGAAUCUCAUGCAGCAGGUGUCUGAUGGACUAUUAUUUAAUCUCUGCUUUGGGAAAGAGCAAUCAAAUGGUAGCUGUUGGUAUUUGUUUAAUAAAAACUCCAGAUGUUGACAAUGUU